rnacentral:lncRNA from 1 species
ACAGUGCUUGGUAUAUAGGAAGUACUCAAUAAAUAAUUUCUUUUAUUUUUAGAAUCAGCACAGUUUGAGUAACUGGGAAUGAUGAGGGAGGAGGAGGAGAUAGUUAUGUUUUCCAAAUUAUGGCUUUGUUACCGAGUGGAUAGUGGUGCCAUUCAUUGAAAUUUGGAAGCAAUGUUGAGAAGGGGGAGAAGAUGAUGAAGCCUGCAUGGAGCAGGACAAUGGCUCUCUGUAUCUGAUGUGAAGAAAUUGGACUUGGUUAUAGCAAAACACACUCUGGAAGAAAGUCAGGAAGAACUGGAGAACUGGAAAGGAUUUUGGAAAUCAUCUUAAUCUCAUGUUUCUGAAAGUGGGAAUAACAUACAAUGGAAGGGAGAUGGUGAUGGGCUUCAGAACGCGCUACCUCAAAAUGUGGCACCCUGACACGCUGAAUAUUUUUUGCUGAAGAAGUUUGAGAAAACGGCAAAAGCAGGAAGGUAGGUCACUAUUGGUCGUAAAACUCUC